rnacentral:rRNA from 1 species
GAUGAACGCUGGCGGCGUGCUUAACACAUGCAAGUCGAACGGAAAGGCCAGUGCUUGCACUGGUACUCGAGUGGCGAACGGGUGAGUAACACGUGGGUGUUCUGCCCUGUACUUCGGGAUAAGCUUGGGAAACUGGGUCUAAUACCGGAUAGGACAACUUUUUGGAUAUUGUUGUGGAAAGCUUUUGCGGUAUGGGAUGAGCUCGCGGCCUAUCAGCUUGUUGGUGGGGUAAUGGCCUACCAAGGCGUCGACGGGUAGCCGGCCUGAGAGGGUGUACGGCCACAUUGGGACUGAGAUACGGCCCAGACUCCUACGGGAGGCAGCAGUGGGGAAUAUUGCACAAUGGGCGCAAGCCUGAUGCAGCGACGCCGCGUGGGGGAUGAAGGCCUUCGGGUUGUAAACUCCUUUCGCUAGGGACGAAGCGUAAGUGACGGUACCUGGAGAAGAAGCACCGGCUAACUACGUG